rnacentral:rRNA from 1 species
GACGAACGCUGGCGGCGUGCUUAACACAUGCAAGUCGAACGGAAAGGCCCUGCUUGCAGGGUACUCGAGUGGCGAACGGGUGAGUAACACGUGGGUGAUCUGCCCUGCACUUCGGGAUAAGCCUGGGAAACUGGGUCUAAUACCGGAUAGGAGCCAUUUUUAGUGUGAUGGUUGGAAAGUUUUUUCGGUGUAGGAUGAGCUCGCGGCCUAUCAGCUUGUUGGUGGGGUAAUGGCCUACCAAGGCGGCGACGGGUAGCCGGCCUGAGAGGGUGGACGGCCACAUUGGGACUGAGAUACGGCCCAGACUCCUACGGGAGGCAGCAGUGGGGAAUAUUGCACAAUGGGCGCAAGCCUGAUGCAGCGACGCCGCGUGGGGGAUGACGGCCUUCGGGUUGUAAACUCCUUUCGCUAGGGACGAAGCUUUUUGGGACGGGACCGAGAGAAGAAGCACCGGCGAACUACGG